rnacentral:rRNA from 1 species
GCAGGGCUAACACAUGCAAGUCGAACGGUAGCACAGAGAGCUUGCUCUCGGGUGACGAGUGGCGGACGGGUGANUAAUGUCUGGGAAACUGCCUGAUGGAGGGGGAUAACUACUGGAAACGGUAGCUAAUACCGCAUAACGUCNCAAGACCAAAGAGGGGGACCUUCNGGCCUCUUGCCAUCAGAUGUGCCCAGAUGGGAUUANCUAGUAGGUGGGGUAACGGCUCACCUAGGCGACGAUCCCUANCUGGUCUUGAGAGGAUGACCANCCACACUGGAAACUGAGACACGGUCCAGACUCCUACGGGAGGCACCACUGGGGAA